ensembl:snRNA U6 U6 spliceosomal RNA
UCACUUUGUCAGUGUUUAUGCUAAAAUUGGAAUGAUCCAGAGAAAAUAUCAUAACACUUGCACAAGGAUGACACACAAAUUAAUAGAGAGAGAAAGAGAGAGA